rnacentral:lncRNA from 1 species
GUGGAUUUACUAGGAAGGUGGGACGUUGGAGGGGUGGCCGCAUGGAGUGAGUACUGUCUCUGGCCACCGAGCAGAGCCAGUGACAGCAGCGUCCUGGUAGGCAGGCAGGCGUAUCAGGUUUCAGAGGAUGCGGCUGGGAACGGGAGUAGAGGUGAGGGGUCGUUGCAUCUGUCGCGGUGUGUAUCUUUUGGGGGUUCAGCGCCACCAGCGACUUGGGCCUCAUUCAUCGCGCUUACAUUUCUCCACCUCAUUUGAAGAACGAGCUUCGUAGCCCACGGAGCUGAGGUAUAUGAGCUCCCUGAAAGCACAAAGCAGUUAUUUCCAUCUUCAGAUCAUUCAGAGAUUAUGAAGGCACAAACCCUGCCUUCAAUUUGCUUAUAGUCAAGUGGAGCAGACACAAGUCAAUGAUUGCAGUAUAGCCACUGAAGUAAUCUAAAAGAGACUUAUCAGCAGGUUGCAGGUGAACAUGGCCUUGAGGUAAAUCUGUCCCUUGCUGAAUACAGUUUCAGUAGAUUGUUUAUAGUAGUUUCAGGAAUUGAGAUUUUUUACAAAAAUACAAAAGUUUUGCUUGGUUCUGUUCUAGAUGUUUUCUUCUAAAUAAAUGAGAAAGAUGUUUCAACAAAGGCUCUUUAUGCUGAAUAAUUGUGAUGCUUGAAGUUGCUAAUCUGCUUUAAGUGGAUUUUAAAUGUCAGGCAAUUCUAGACAGUUUUUUCUUGGUCAAAUAAAAAUUUAAUUAAAACUUUA